CAGUCGCCGCGGGAAUACGAAGGGGGCUAGCGUUGUUCGGAAUUACUGGGCGUAAAGCGCACGUAGGCGGACAUUUAAGUCAGGGGUGAAAUCCCGGGGCUCAACCCCGGAACUGCCUUUGAUACUGGGUGUCUAGAGUAUGGAAGAGGUGAGUGGAAUUCCGAGUGUAGAGGUGAAAUUCGUAGAUAUUCGGAGGAACACCAGUGGCGAAGGCGGCUAACUGGUCCAUAACUGACGCUGAGGUGCGAAAGCGUGGGGAGCAAACAGGAUUAGAGACCCCUGUAGUCCCUGUCUCUUAUAC
rnacentral:rRNA from 1 species